AGAACUUCAGAAAAAGAGAAGUGAUCUCAUUCAAAAAGUCUAUUUCUUCCUUCUAUUUUUCCUUUCUUUGCUCUCUAGCCAGACAGGUCCCAUCCUAAGUCAUUCAUGACAAGAUGGUCACCCCAUCCCCUGAAUUCUAGGGAAGCUCAUAACACUUAUGCAGAGUGGGUCUGAGUGCCGGGCAGGAUGUGGAAUUGGUGAGCAGGUCUGAGUGGAAGGCAAGGAAGGCUGCACAUUGGCAACCCCUAAGUGUCUUGCAAGGGAAUGUUCUAAGAAUACUCAAGCCUAUCUGUUGCACAUGCUUGCUGAAUAUUCGGCCUAGGCUUGGCCUCAUUUCUACUACCUCAUUCUGUGUCAUGGGUACAGAUACAUUUGGGAAAAGAACUCAGAUUUCAGAGCCUGGAGUGGUGCUGCACAUCUGUAAUCCCAGCUUCUGGGGAGGCUGAGGCAGAAGGAUUGCAAGUUCAAAGCCAGCCUCAGCAACUUGGAGAGGCCCUGAACAACUCAGCAAGACCCUGUCUCUAAUAAAAUAUUUAAAAAAGGCUGGGAAUGUGGCUCAGUGGUUAAAUGCUCUAGGGUUCAAUCCCUAGUUUAAAAAAAAAAAAAGAUUUCCUAACAGAAUUGCUAUCAUAUACUUAAGUUUGAGCAAAUCACCUGCUGCCUUGGCCCUUCCUUUUUCUGUCUUAUGGAGUACUAAUCCUGCCUUUAUGUCCCCUGGACCAUACCCAACCCCAAAGAUACUAUGAAAACAAGGAAGUAAGAGCAAAGAAUCUUAAAGCUGAGAAAAACCCUAGGGUUCAUUUUGUCCAUCCCUCCACCUCCAGCCAAGUUCUCCACACAACAAUACCCAUGCCAGGCCAAAGAAUAUGCCAGGGCUUAAAGACCACCUAGGAAGGGGAACCCCCAGCUUCCCCUGGGUUUGAAGCCAAGUUGGAAGUUGCCUUGCCAGUUGUGUGUGUGUGUGUGUGUGUUUCCCCUGAAUUUCUGCUCAUCAUCAAGUAAUUCAGGGUAUUUGGG
rnacentral:lncRNA from 1 species